UACAGAGGUGGCAAGCGUUGUUCGGAAUUACUGGGCGUAAAGGGCGCGUAGGCGGCCAUCUAAGUCAGACGUGAAAUCCCCCGGCUCAACCUGGGAACUGCGUCUGAUACUGGACGGCUUGAGUUUGGGAGAGGGAUGUAGAAUUCCAGGUGUAGCGGUGAAAUGCGUAGAUAUCUGGAGGAAUACCGGUGGCGAAGGCGGCAUCCUGGACCAAUACUGACGCUGAGGCGCGAAAGCUAGGGGAGCAAACGGGG
rnacentral:rRNA from 1 species